GAUGAACGCUAGCGGCAGGCCUAAUACAUGCAAGUCGAACGGAUAUAUGUUUUUCGGAAUAUAUAUUAGUGGCGCACGGGUGAGUAACACGUACAUAACUUGCCCUCAAGCGGGGGAUAGCCUUGGGAAACUGAGAGUAAUACCCCAUAGAAUUAUUGGACGGCAUCGUUUGAUAAUUAAAACUACGGUGUUUGGGGUAGUAGAUGUGCGUCUGAUUAGCUAGUUGGUGAGGUAACUGCUCACCAAGGCGACGAUCAGUAGGGGGCGGUGAGAGCGUGGCCCCCACCACGGUACGUGAGACACGGACCCGACUCCUACGGGAGGGC
rnacentral:rRNA from 1 species